UAGUCCAUGCACCUAGUGAAGUGGACACAAAAUCAUGUAACCAACAGCCAAAUCUGCUUAGUUACGAUGCUUCUCUGUAUUAUUCUUGCAUAAUUAUUCUUUAAUUUCUUUUGCUCUUAAAGAAUUUAAUGAUAAAUGAAUGUUUUAACUAUGUGAAUAAACCGAUAAACUAUUAAGAUAUAAAACGUUUUAAAAACUAAAUACAUUUUUUUUUUUCAAAACCAGGUUUGCUAGCAAACCCCUGUAGUUGUAACAGAUACAACUUUUUAUUAUAAAUUAUCAGUAAUAAAAUUUAUUUGCACAUCUCUAUGUCCAGCAGAGGUCCCAUUACGCGAUCACUGCAUCUCUCUCUCUUUCUCUCUCUCUCUCGUACAUUUUGUAACUACAAAAAUGUUUGGGAUGUUUAGAUUAAUUUUAUAGGCUGAGAAUUUAUAUCCAUUAGACCAGUUUCUGGUGUAUUUUGAAAUAGACUUUGUUUAUCUUUGAAUGCAAAACGAUGUCGAUUUCCUCAGGUGUUAAUACCGGAUGACCUUCACCCUGCAGAAAUUGUUCGUGUAUCACAUGUAGUUCUCCACAAACAUGACAAAACGGUGAUUUCAUUAGAUUUUUCAGCUCAACAUGAAUGGGUUAAAUACAGAAGAAUAUUAAUUACAGAAUGAAAUAAAUAGAGAUGCUUUAACUUUUACCGGUAGCAGGGACCUAUAUACUGGUAGUAUAUAGGUCUCUGCCGGUAGUUGGGCAGUAGCAGUAAAAAGAAAAAAAGUGUACAUUUACAGAAAUUUCAUACAAAUAAUAGCCCCCAAGAUGCACAAAAUACAGGUGCUUAUCAUUUAUAAUUAUUCACAAACUAGGCAUUUAUGGAUUGUAUACCUGUUAUAAUUUACAUGAUGUUCCAUGUAUACAUGUAUUUCGAUGUUUGUAUCACUCUCUGGUGUCAGUUACAUUAAUUAAGAUUUUAGUUGAAAUCUAACAUGUAAGAAAAUUAUGAAUAAUUAAAAAAAAAAUAGGGGGCCUAAUCAAUUUGAGAGUGAUUUGUUACGUAAACAAACACAAAAUAGUAAUGGCGGUCAAGAUGGCGGUUCAAUUAUUUGCCCAAAAUAGCCACGCUAAAUUUCAAGGAUUUCAUCGCAAUCGGCUUUCAGUUUAAGUUGGGGCUUCAUUAAAUAAUUGUUAAAUGUUCAUUGUUAUAAUUAUAAAUUGUUUACACGAAAUAUUUUAUGAAUAAUUUAAUAAAUUUUAAUAAAAACACGUGACUCCAGCGAAGUCUACGAUUGGUCAGUGGAGAGCGCGGACAUUUCUGAGACGUUUUGAAAAUUUGCCGAGAUGAAAGCCUAAAACAGAAAUCGGAGAAUUAUAGUUCGCAAAAUUCUUGUCCCCUGUAGUCAUUCUAAACUUGGGGGAAAUGCAUAAAGACUAUAACUCUGUCAAAUUGAAGGGAAUGGCAUGAAAGAAGAAAGAAGGAAUUGCAUGGUACAUUCAAAUGGAGGAUCAGUUUUUAUAAGGAGUCCAGAUGAAAAUCGCAACUGUACAGCAAUGAGUAAUUACCCUGGUAAAAGGUCUAUUACUGUGCAGAAAAUUCUGUGGUGCCAAUUGGGUAAAAACUCUAUGAAAGAAAUGAACAUUACAUGAAUUGCACAUGCAGCAAGUGAAUAAUGUGUGGCCAAAAAAAAGGACAUGAAAUGGAGUAUACUUUCAAUACUUUUACGGUGUCUUAGUGUAUUUAAAUUACAUUAAUUAUGUUUUGUAUAUGCUGAAAAGGUAUGCUUAUUUUUUUUCUUGCAAAAAAUGAUAUAAAAUAUCAUUAUUUUGUUAAAGGUAACAAUAUUAAUUUUUUUUUAAAUAUAGGAGAUUUGUCAUAUAUAGAUUCCGUUUAUAGAGAGGAUUUAAAAUAGUUAUUUUUCAUAUAUAUUU